GCUGAUGACGUACUUCGGUAAAGAUUCUUGGAUAUCUUAGUGGCGGACGGGUGAGUAACGCGUGAGCAACCUGCCUUUCAGAGGGGGAUAACGUCUGGAAACGGACGCUAAUACCGCAUGACAUCAUAGGGCUGCAUGGCCUAGUGAUCAAAGGAGCAAUCCGCUGAAAGAUGGGCUCGCGUCCGAUUAGGUAGUUGGCGGGGCAACGGCCCACCAAGCCGACGAUCGGUAGCCGGACUGAGAGGUUGAACGGCCACAUUGGGACUGAGACACGGCCCAGACUCCUACGGGAGGCAGCAGUGAGGGAUAUUGGUCAAUGGGGGAAACCCU
rnacentral:rRNA from 1 species